AGUACCAAACCCCACCAAACACAAGUUUUUGCUCAGGAAACUUUCCACCAAAACCUGGGGGUGAAGGAAGAGACAUUUGGAUCUUUGGAAAAAUAUUAAACUUCAGUGAGAAAUAAGCACUAGUACGUGUUCACCCUGAAGGAAAGGCUGCCAUUUGAAAAUGCUCUGAAGAAUCAUUUUGCUGCUCUUUCAUUUUUAGUGGAGACAUGUCCUUCUGACAUCUUCAUGAGAAAUUGUGGAUGCAACUUCAUGGUACCACAGACAUUCAAGCAUUUUUACUUUAAAAACA